rnacentral:rRNA from 1 species
ACUAAACUUUUAGCCCAAUUAACAGCACAAACAACUGAUAUUUACAAAACAAACCAUUUGCAAGCACUAGUAUAUGCGAUAGAACGUGACCUUUGGCGCAAUAGAUAAGAGUACCGCAAGGGAACAUUGAAAGAACAAUGAAAUAUCUUAAGAAAAACAAAGCAAAGACUAACCCUUGUACCUUUUGCAUCAUGGUUUAGCUAGCAAGCGCAGACAAAGAGAACUUUAGCCUGCCACCCCGAAACUAGGUGAGCUACUACUCGGCAACCAACCAGGGUGAACCCGUCUCUGUGGCAAAAGAGUGGGACGACCUUGUAGUAGCGGUGAAAAGCCUAACGAACCUAGUGAUAGCUGGUUGCUCAAUAAAAGAAUCUAAGUUCAACUUUAGGUUUUAUAGACCAAACAUCGUCCUACCACACAACCUAAAAGAUAUUCAAUGAGGGUACAGCUUCAUUGAAACAGGACACAACCUGUAUUAGAGAGGCAGUAAAAGACUAUAACCAGUAAGCCCUAAAGCCGCUACCAGUAAAUAAAGCGUCACAGCGCAAUAAUAAAAAUACCAAAACUAAACACAAACUCCUAAUCUACCCACCGAGCCACACUAUAAUAAUAGUCGCACCAAUGCUAAAACUAGUAACAAGAAAGACUUCUCCAAGUACACCCCUGACUCGGCAAUAGAAAAACUACCGAACAUUAACAGACCAAAAAAGGCAAGCACACCAAAGAUAGAGCUGCAAUUAAACUGUCAAACCGACACAGGAGUACAGCAAGGAAAGAUUUAAAGUCGCAAAAGGAACUCAGCAAAAACUUGUCCCAACUGUUUACCAAAAACAUAGCCUUUAGCACAACAAGUAUUAAAGGUCCCGCCUGCCCAGUGAUUUAUUUAAACGGCCGCGGUAUUCUAACCGUGCAAAGGUAGCGUAAUCACUUGUCUUCUAAAUAAAGACUAGUAUGAAUGGCUAAAUGAGGACAAACCUGUCUCUUGCAACCAAUCAGUGAAACUGAUCUUCCGGUCCAAAAGCCGGAAUAGCCCCAUAAGACGAGAAGACCCUGUGGAGCUUUAAACAAAUUACCAUGCAGCAUCAUCCAGCCGCAACUAGUAAUAAAUUUUGAGUUGGGGCGACUUCGGAGCCAAAAAAACCCUCCGAGCACAGAAUCACCAAUUCUUACUAAGACCUACAAGUCAAAGUACAAAACUGACCCAGUACUACUGACUAACGAACCAAGUUACCCCAGGGAUAACAGCGCUAUCUUCUUCAAGAGUUCAUAUCGACAAGAAGGUUUACGACCUCGAUGUUGGAUCAGGACACCCCAAUGGUGCAGCCGCUAUUAAGGGUUCGUUUGUUCAACGAUUAAUGUCCUACGUGAUCUGAGUUCAGACCGGAGUAAUCCAGGUCGGUUUCUAUCUAUGUAGCCACCCUCUUCAGUACGAAAGGACAAAGAGGGGGGGACCCAUGCCACCGGCACGUCCUAAACCAUUAACUGAACAAAACUAAAGUUAAACAGCUAUUACCACGACUAAAGAUCGUGGUUU